CGUAGGACAUUGAUCGUUGAACAAACGAACCUUUGGUAGUGGCUGCACCACCGGGGUGUCCUGAUCCAACAUCGAGGUCGUAAGCCUCCCUGGCGAUAUGGACUCUUGAGGGAGAUGGCGCUGUUAUCCCUGGGGUAACUUGGUCCGGUUUGCAGUGUUACUGGGUCAGCAUAGGUUGUUUGGCUUGUGGGCCUUAUUUUGGGGUUUCCCUGGUUUCGUGGAGGGUUCUUUUUUCUCCGUAGUCGCCCCAACUUAAAACUUAUACUAUGGGUGUGGUAUUGUUUUUUGGUUAGUAUUAGGUUUGAAGCUCCACAGGGUCUUCUCGUCUUGUGUUUAUAUUUCAGCUUUUGUACUGAAAGAUCAGUUUCAUUGAUUGGGUAAAGGGGACAGUUGGGCCCUCAAUUAGCCAUUCAUACGGGUCUCUAUUUAGGAGACAAGUGAUUACGCUACCUUUGCACGGUUAUGAUACCGCGGCCGUUGAAU
rnacentral:rRNA from 1 species